rnacentral:rRNA from 1 species
ACUAUUAGGAAAUUUUUAUUGUUAGUAAAUAAAUAAUACGAAAACAAAAAAUUAUGGCGGUAUCUUAAGCUUUUCAGAGGAAUUUGCUCUUUAAUGGAUAAAACGCCUUUAAUCUUACUAAAAUUGGCAAUUUCAGUUUGUAUACCACUAUAAAAGUAAUAAUUUAUUAUUAUUGCUUUAAUUUUAAAGUAAAAAGAAAAUUAAGUCAAGGUGCAGCAAAAAUUUUAGAAUGAAGUGAAUUACAGUGCUUUUUAGAAAAAGAAAAUGAAACUUAAUUUAGGAUUUGAAAGUAAAAAUUUAAUAAAAUGAUUUUUUGAAUGAAGUUCUGAGAUAUGUAC